rnacentral:rRNA from 1 species
GGAAUAUUGCACAAUGGGCGCAAGCCUGAUGCAGCCAUGCCGCGUGUAUGAAGAAGGCCUUCGGGUUGUAAAGUACUUUCAGCGGGGAGGAAGGGAGCGCGGUUAAUAACCGCGUUCAUUGACGUUACCCGCAGAAGAAGCACCGGCUAACUCCGUGCCAGCAGCCGCGGUAAUACGGAGGGUGCAAGCGUUAAUCGGAAUUACUGGGCGUAAAGCGCACGCAGGCGGUCUGUUAAGUCAGAUGUGAAAUCCCCGGGCUUAACCUGGGAACUGCAUUUGAAACUGGCAGGCUUGAGUCUUGUAGAGGGGGGUAGAAUUCCAGGUGUAGCGGUGAAAUGCGUAGAGAUCUGGAGGAAUACCGGUGGCGAAGGCGGCCCCCUGGACAAAGACUGACGCUCAGGUGCGAAAGCGUGGGGAGCAAACAGGAUUAGAUACCCCAG